rnacentral:rRNA from 1 species
UACGUAGGGUGCAGGCGUUAAUCGGAAUUACUGGGCGUAAAGCGUGCGCAGGCGGUUUGCUAAGAGAGAUGUGAAAUCCCCGGGCUUAACCUGGGAACUGCGUUUCUAACUGGCAGGCUUGAGUGUGGCAGAGGGGGGUGGAAUUCCGCGUGUAGCAGUGAAAUGCGUAGAGAUGCGGAGGAACACCGAUGGCGAAGGCAGCCCCCUGGGCUAACACUGACGCUCAGGCACGAAAGCGUGGGGAGCAAACAGG